rnacentral:rRNA from 1 species
UACGUAGGGUGCGAGCGUUGUCCGGAAUUAUUGGGCGUAAAGAGCUUGUAGGCGGUUUGUCGCGUCUGCUGUGAAAAUCCGGGGCUCAACCCCGGACUUGCAGUGGGUACGGGCAGACUAGAGUGUGGUAGGGGAGACUGGAAUUCCUGGUGUAGCGGUGAAAUGCGCAGAUAUCAGGAGGAACACCGAUGGCGAAGGCAGGUCUCUGGGCCACUACUGACGCUGGAGGAGCGAAAGCGUGGGGAGCGAACAGG